rnacentral:rRNA from 1 species
AAUUUGGGUCAAGGGACGAAAGUCUGACGUAGCAAGGCCUCGAGAGUGAUUAUGGUUUUCUGUACGUAAAACACUGUUGUUAGUGAAGAACAAGUAUCGGAGUCACGGCGGAUAACUUCACGGUACCGGACGUGAAGGCCACGGCUAACUAGGUCACAUCAGCAGCGGUAAUACGUAGGUGCCAAUCGUUGUCAGGAUUUAUUGGGCGUAAAGCGCGCGCAGGCGGUCUUUUAAGUCUGAUGUGAAAUCUUACAGCUUAACUGUAAGCGGUCAUUGGAAACUGGGAGACUUGAGUGCAGAAGAGGAGAGUGGAAUUCCAUGUGUAGCGGUGAAAUGCGUAGAGAUGUGGAGGAACACCAGUGGCGAAGGCGACUCUCUGGUCUGUAACUGACGCUGAGGCGCGAAAGCGUGGGGAUCAAACA